rnacentral:rRNA from 1 species
GACGAACGCUGGCGGCGUGCUUAACACAUGCAAGUCAGGGGGUGGGGCAACCCAUCACCGGCGAACGGGUGCGUAACACGUGAGCGACCUGCCCUGGUGUGGGGGAUAGCCGGCCCAACG